AACGAACGCUGGCGGCAUGCCUAACACAUGCAAGUCGAACGAGACCUUCGGGUCUAGUGGCGCACGGGUGCGUAACGCGUGGGAAUCUGCCCUUAGGUUCGGAAUAACAGUUAGAAAUGACUGCUAAUACCGGAUGAUGACUUCGGUCCAAAGAUUUAUCGCCUAAGGAUGAGCCCGCGUAAGAUUAGCUAGUUGGUGAGGUAAAGGCUCACCAAGGCUACGAUCUUUAGCUGGUCUGAGAGGAUGAUCAGCCACACUGGGACUGAGACACGGCCCAGACGCCUACGGGAGGCAGCAGUGGGGAAUAUUGGACAAUGGGCGAAAGCCUGAUCCAGCAAUGCCGCGUGGGUGAUGAAGGCCUUAGGGUUGUAAAGCUCUUUUACCCGGGAUGAUAAUGACAGUACCGGGAGAAUAAGCUCCGGCUAACUCCGUGCCAGCCGCCGCCGUAA
rnacentral:rRNA from 1 species